rnacentral:lncRNA from 1 species
GGGAGGGUCUGGGGCUGGUCAUCAGGUGGCCGAGGCUGAGUUUCGCCAAGAGGUAAACUCCCCACGUCCGGAAAAGCUGACCCUUUAGGAGACCCGGGAGGGGGCCCAGGGCAGCCCCCGAUCCCCUCCUCCUCCCGGUCUGCCCCCGACCCGGCCCGGCCAUCCUCGGAGCGGGUAAAAGGGAGGCAUUCAUUCCAGGCCGGCGAGCGGGCGGAGGAUCGAGAUGAAUAGGGAGGGUCCCGAGUGUCCCUGCUUCCUGGGAUGGACAAUGGACAAGGGCAUUCAUUCAUUCAUUCAUUCACUCGUCAAAUAUUUAAUGUGCUGCUGCUCCGUGCCAGGCUCUGGCCUAUCUCUACAGGCACACCAACGGGGAAGCUGAGUGUGCUUCUGGUAGACGUAGCAGCGCGUGCAAAAGGCCUGGAGGCCGGACAGAGAGAUACAGCACAUUUCAGGACAGUGCCGUAUCCUAGGAGCUGGCAAAACUGGGGGAAAUGGUGUAAUGGAAGGGAAGACAAGGGAGAGAUAGACUGUCUGCUUGUUGGUUAGGCCAGCGGAUAUUUACUGAGCACGUAAUAGGUGCUAGACUAUAAGGGGUACCCAACCAGCCCAAGCCAUUGCUUUCAUGAGGCUGUCUCCUCCAUCUCAGUGCUCCCCACCCACGCCCGGGUCCUGAGACUGGCACAGAGCAGGGUGACAGCCCACAUGUGUGCAUCUCACCGUUGCCAGGUUUGGCUUCUAACCGAGAGUUCUCAGGCAGGAGGAGGUCCAAGAAACGCAGACACGAACGCACCUCAUGCAGACCAGGACGCUGAGUUCCCAGGACAGGUGAGAUUUCCUUGUUCUACUUCAAAGCCGGGGCCGCUGGGGCAGUUGAGGCUGGGCCAGGGGCUUGCUGUGUGUUCUGGGAAUUGUAGUUCUUGGAAGCCCCUAACGGCUGCGACUCUGCUCAAGCUUCAUUAAAUAACUGGGUCUCUGCAGUGCCCAGGGUGAGUUGUUGCACAUCCCAGCCCCGCCAGGGCCUACCGAGGGGAGAAGUGGAAGAGGAGAGUGUGGCCUGGGCUUAGCCACUGACGGCUUCGAGCGAGACCGGCCCCACCCAGCUGGCAAACACUGCCACUGCCGUGGCAACAGGCACAGCUAUUGUCCUUCUCUUCCUGUUCUGCUGACCUCUGCCAUCCCCACUGAGUGAUCGGUUGCUGUGGCUGGGCCAGUGUCCUCUGUGGGACUGCACCCACUGCCCUGCUUGUGCCUGGCAUCUGAGCUGCCUCCCACACACCUGAAGAGGACAGUAUGUGGGGCCACGGGGACAGCAGAGUCCUGAGCAGAAUCCACCUGGAGGGGUGUGGGGGUUGUCCAAGGGCGCAGAGGUGGCCACCUCUUUACCCAGUGUUACAGCUCAAGAGGCUGGGGGGCCCAGCUGCUGAGGAGCUUAGACCUGAGCGCUACCUCUGCCCCUUUGGGGGGAGGAAAAAGUCUGGAGUGCCAGCUAAAAUGUGCCGAAGGAAAGAUUGAGUGAGAAAAUCCCCAUUUUGCAGCCAGUAGAGGAAUAAUUAAUUCAGGCUAGGCUCCUCAGUGGGGGAGUAGAUAUUCACACAGUCUCGAAGGACCAGCCCACAAAUUACUUGUUAAUUACAGUGGGAAAAAGAUACCUCAGAAAAUUCACCAUGGAGAAAGUUGGCAGUCACCACUUUAACCAAAUGAUCAAAAUUAACAUCAGGGAUGGGACAGGCUGACCUCACAUGCAUCUUGCUGUGAUGUACUGAGAAGGACACCUGCAAAGUACUUGGUCCUGUCCAAAGUGUUUAACCUGAGUCUAAUCAUAAGGACACAACCAGAUACUUCCCGAUUAAGGGGCAUUCUGCCGACAAACAAAUAAACAAACAAAAAAACCCCAAACCAAAAAACAAACACCAAAAGUGCCUGGACUCUUCAAACAGAUCUAUGUCAUGAAAGGGAAAAUCAAUCUAUUCAUCGAAUGAAUGAAGGAGUGAAUGAAUGAAAUGCCGGGAAACUGUUCUAGACUGAAGGAAACAAAGAGAUGACAGCCAAAAUCAAUGUAUAAUCCUUGAUUGGAUCCUUGAUAAUUUUCUUUAAAAAAAAAGGAUGAAACAGCUACAAAAGAUAUUCUGGGGAUAAUCGAGGAUAUUUGAAUGUGGGUGGAUCUUAGAUAAUAUCAUAUCCAGGUUAAAUUUCCUGAAUGUGGGCAUUGCACCGUGGUUGGAUAAGAGAAUGUUCUUAUUUGUGGGAAAAACACACUGAAUUCUUUAGUGGUAAAUUUGUGAUGGUUGCGACUGCCAAAUAGCUCAGAAGAAAACCGUAUGUGUAUAUAUAUUAUAUACAACAUCAUAAUAUGGUAUACAUUAGUAUUAAUAUAGAGGAGGGGAGGAGAGAGAGCGUGAGCAAAUGUGGCAAAAUAGUAACAAUUGUCGCUGAAGCCAGGAGAGUAAGUAAGCAUAUGGGUAUUAUUUUACUGUUCUUGUGAGUUUUCUUUUUUUUUCCCAUACAUUUUUUUAUUCUCUAUUUUUGAGAGAGAGAGACGGUGAGACAGAGCACAAGUGGGGAAGGAACAGAGAGAGAGGGAGGCACAGAAUUCGAAGCAAGAUCCAGGCUCUGAGCUGUCAGCACAGAACUCGACGUAGGGCUCAAAGUCAUGAACCGCGAGAUCAUGACCUGAGCCGAAGUCGGACACUUAACCAACUGAGCCACCCAGGCGCCCUAAGUUUUCUUUUUUUUUUAAUGUUUGUUUUUGAGAGACAGAGAGAGAGAGAGAGAGAGAGAGAGCAAGUGGAGAGGGGCGGAGAGAGAGGGAGACACAGAAUCUGAAGCAGGCUCCAGGCUCUGAGCUGUCAGCAUAGAGCCCCACGUGGGGCUCGAACUCAUGGACUGUGAGAUCAUGACCUGAGCAAAGUUGGGCGUUUAACCUACUGAGCCACCCAGGCGCCCCAAGUUUUCUUUUUUUAAUGUUUAUUUAUUUUUGAGAGAGAGAGUGAGUGGGGGAGGGGCAGAGAGAGAGGAUCCGAAGCAGACUCCAGGCUCUGAGCUGUCAGCACAGAGCCUGAUGCAGGGCUUGAACUCACGAGCCGUGAGAUCAUGACCCAAGCCAAAGUCGGUCCCUCAACCGACUGAGCCAUCCAGGGGCCCCUCUUUUUUUUUUUUUUUAAGUUUAUUUAUUUAUUUUGAGAGAGAGCAAAAGAGCGAACAGGAGCAGGGGAGGGGCAGAAAGAAGGAAAGAGGAUCCCAAGCAGGCUUCGCACUGUCAGCACAGAACCUGACUCGGGGCUUGAACUCACGAACCUCGAGAUCGUGACCUGAGCUGAAACCAAACAUCGGAUGCUAACCAACUGAAUCACCCAGGUGCCCCUUCUUGUGAGUUUUCUGUACCUUUGGAAAUUUCAAAAUAAACAUUAGGGAAAAAUACCCCCCAAUUCCCUCCCAUCUCUGGUGCAACACUGCCAUGGGCUUAAUGUGCACCUUUCUGUUUGUAUGUUUCCUUGAAAAUGUGCCUUGUUUUAUGUGAGUAUUCUAUUACAUUUGGCUUCUUACUUUCCUUUUCCAGUUAGCACUGUAUUGCUUGCUUGCUUGUUUGCUUGUCUUGCAGUAGGACUUCAGUAUCCAUCCGUGUUGUCAAUCUCUUGCGUCUGUUUUCUUCUGAUUUCUACUUGAUGUUCCACAGAUGCAUCCCUCACGUAUUGACUCUGUCCCCUGGGGAUGGACAUCAGGCAGCCUCCAGCUCCCAGCCACUGCAGCCUUGGACAUGUCCCUUCAGAGACCUGUGUGGAAAUCUCCCUAGGAGAGAGACCUGGUUGCAGAGAUGCUGGAUCACAGGGCACAGUCCGUUGCUGUGUGGCGUCCUGGACUAGCUGCCCCCAGCCACACCUUCUGUCAGUGCAGAGGGUCCCAUGUACCCACAUCUCCACGAGCUGUUAGCUUUAUCCAGCUUCUGAUUUUUACCACUCUGACUCGAUGUCAAGUGACAUCACCAUUGCUAUCUUUCACAUUUCUCUGAUUUCAGGUCACUUUGAGCAUCUCCUCAUUUGCUUGAUCGCCUUCAGUUUCUCCUCUUUUGUAAAUUGCCUGUUCAUAUUCUUUGCCCUGUUUGCACUUGGGUUGCCGUCUUUUACUCGUUGAUUUGCAUGUGCUCCUCAUAGAAUCUAGCUGUGCCCUGUCCCAUCCGAUCUGUCCUACACGAAAUCUCUGCUCUCCACAUGUAGGUAUGAGCACUUGAAAUACGGCAAAUACAAAUUGCGAUGUGCUAAGUGUAAAAUACACACCAGAUUUCGGAAACUUAGUACAAAGAAAAGAUGUAAAAAGAUGUAAAAGAUGUAAAAUAUCUCAUUAACUCAUUUUUAUUCUGUCUACGUUAUAAUAAUAAUAAUAAUAAUGUGGAUGUAUUGGGCUGCAUAAAAUGUACUACUCAAAUUACUUUCACCUAUUUGUUUUUUAUUAUUUAAAAUUUUUUUAAUGUUUAUUUAUUUUUGAGAGAGAGAGAGAGAGAGAGAGAGACAGCAGGAGCCUGGGAGGGGCAUAGAUAGGGAGACACAGAAUCCGAAGCAGGCUCCAGGCUCUGAGCUGUCAGCACGGAGCCCAACGCGGUGCUUGGCCUCACAAACUGUGAGAUCGUGACUGGAGCCGAAGUCGCACGCUUCACCUACUGAGCCACCCAGGUGCUCCUGAGCCGUGUAACUCUCUUAACAGCCCUGUGAGGUAGGUGCAGUAUGAGGCAUUGCGAACAUAUUCUCCCAUUCUGCCAUGUGAUGAUUCGUGUCACCAUUAUAUCCUUUCUUGGAAGAAAAUUCUCAGCUGCAAUACAACAGGACUUACCCGCUUGUGGUUUCCACCCAUGAUGUUUCAUUAAAGGGGCUCUUAAGUCACAAAGUCAUUCUUCUGUAUUUUCGUAUAUUCGUUCUAUGGUUUUGCUUUGCUUUUGCUUCUAUUCGUUCUAUGUCUUUUAUUCCAUCUCUCGUCCACCUCAGGUUGUGGGGUAGGAUACAGUCUUUUUUCUCCAUCACCUCUACUGGUCGCCGGCUGUGUGGCCCCGGGCAAGCCCCUUCGCC